rnacentral:rRNA from 1 species
UACGGAGGGUGCGAGCGUUGUCCGGAAUCACUGGGCGUAAAGGGCGCGUAGGCGGCCCGUCAAGCGUGUGGUGAAAGCCCGGGGCUCAACCCCGGGUCGGCCGUGCGGACUGGCGGGCUCGAGCACUGUAGGGGCGGGUGGAAUUCCGGGUGUAGCGGUGGAAUGCGUAGAGAUCCGGAAGAACACCGGUGGCGAAGGCGGCCCGCUGGGCAGGA